UAGCUCAGUGGUAGAGUGCUUGCCUCACAUGCAUGAGGCCCUAGGUUCGAUUCCUCAG
rnacentral:tRNA from 1 species